UUUUACUAUUAUUGUAAGACCCCCUUUUGGGGACCCCCACUCUAGUCUCAGGAGUGAGAGAGCACCCAAAGAAACACAAGAAUCC
rnacentral:pre_miRNA from 7 species